ACGCUGGCGGCGUGCCUAAUACAUGCAAGUAGAACGCUGAAGGAGGAGCUUGCUUCUCCGGAUGAGUUGCGAACGGGUGAGUAACGCGUAGGUAACCUGCCUGGUAGCGGGGGAUAACUAUUGGAAACGAUAGCUAAUACCGCAUAACAGUAGAUGUUGCAUGACAUUUGCUUAAAAGGUGCAAUUGCAUCACUACCAGAUGGACCUGCGUUGUAUUAGCUAGUUGGUGGGGUAACGGCUCACCAAGGCGACGAUACAUAGCCGACCUGAGAGGGUGAUCGGCCACACUGGGACCGAGACACGGCCCAGACUCCUACGGGAGGCAGCAGUAGGGAAUCUUCGGCAAUGGACGGAAGUCUGACCGAGCAACGCCGCGUGAGUGAAGAAGGUUUUCGGAUCGUAAAGCUCUGUUGUAAGAGAAGAACGAGUGUGAGAGUGGAAAGUUCACACUGUGACGGUAUCUUACCAGAAAGGGACGGCUAACUACGUGCCAGCAGCCGCGGUAAUACGUAGGUCCCGAGCGUUGUCCGGAUUUAUUGGGCGUAAAGCGAGCGCAGGCGGUUAGAUAAGUCUGGAGUUAAAGGCUGUGGCUUAACCAUAGUACGCUUUGGAAACUGUUUAACUUGAGUGCAAGAGGGGAGAGUGGAAUUCCAUGUGUAGCGGUGAAAUGCGUAGAUAUAUGGAGGAACACCGGUGGCGAAAGCGGCUCUCUGGCUUGUAACUGACGCUGAGGCUCGAAAGCGUGGGGAGCAAACAGGAUUAGAUACCCUGGUAGUCCACGCCGUAAACGAUGAGUGCUAGGUGUUAGACCCUUUCCGGGGUUUAGUGCCGCAGCUAACGCAUUAAGCACUCCGCCUGGGGAGUACGACCGCAAGGUUGAAACUCAAAGGAAUUGACGGGGGCCCGCACAAGCGG
rnacentral:rRNA from 1 species